rnacentral:RNase_P_RNA from 1 species
UGACGGCUUGUCGCUCGUGUGCCUUUUUGGCAGCGAGAGGAAAGUCCGGGCAACACAGAGCAUCACAUUUGUUAACGGCAAACUGCGGGCGACCGUAGGGUUAAGGUGACAGAAAACAACCGCUCGUCAUCGAACGAGCAAGGGUGAAAAGGCGGGGUAAGAGCCCACCGGGCGUGCUGGUGACAGCGCGUGCCGCACUACCUGUGAGUUGCAAGGCCAAGUAUACUGGCAUCUAAGGGCUGCUCGUCCAUUGUCAGGGGGUAGGCCGCUAUAUCGGCACAGCAAUGUGUCGGACAGAUAAAUGACAGGCGGCGAGGUGUACGCCGAGAAGGAACGCAUCACGUCACAGAACCCGGCUUAUAGUCAUACUG